rnacentral:rRNA from 1 species
GAUUGGGCGGGGUGCUUACCUGCAAGUCGAACGAUGAUCCGGUGCUUGCACCGGGGAUUAGUGGCGAACGGGUGAGUAACACGUGAGUAACCUGCCCUUAACUCUGGGAUAAGCCUGGGAAACUGGGUCUAAUACCGGAUAUGACUCCUCAUCGCAUGGUGGGGGGUGGAAAGCUUUUGUGGUUUUGGAUGGACUCGCGGCCUAUCAGCUUGUUGGUGAGGUAAUGGCUCACCAAGGCGACGACGGGUAGCCGGCCUGAGAGGGUGACCGGCCACACUGGGACUGAGACACGGCCCAGACUCCUACGGGAGGCAGCAGUGGGGAAUAUUGCACAAUGGGCGGAAGCCUGAUGCAGCGACGCCGCGUGAGGGAUGACGGCCUUCGGGUUGUAAACCUCUUUCAGUAGGGAAGAAGCGAAAGUGACGGUACCUGCAGAAGAAGCGCCGGCUAACUACGUGCCAGCAGCCGCGGUAAUACGUAGGGCGCAAGCGUUAUCCGGAAUUAUUGGGCGUAAAGAGCUCGUAGGCGGUUUGUCGCGUCUGCCGUGAAAGUCCGGGGCUCAACUCCGGAUCUGCGGUGGGUACGGGCAGACUAGAGUGAUGUAGGGGAGACUGGAAUUCCUGGUGUAGCGGUGAAAUGCGCAGAUAUCAGGAGGAACACCGAUGGCGAAGGCAGGUCUCUGGGCAUUAACUGACGCUGAGGAGCGAAAGCAUGGGGAGCGAACAGGAUUAGAUACCCUGGUAGUCCAUGCCGUAAACGUUGGGCACUAGGUGUGGGGGACAUUCCACGUUUUCCGCGCCGUAGCUAACGCAUUAAGUGCCCGCCUGGGGAGUACGGACCGCAAGGCUAAAAACUCAAAGGAAAUUGACGGGGGGGGCCCCCGCCCACCC